GGUGGCUCAGUGGUAGAGUGCAUGCCUAGCAUGCAUGAGGCCCUGGGUUCAACCUUAGCACCA
rnacentral:tRNA from 1 species